UACGGGGGGGGCAAGCGUUGUUCGGAAUUACUGGGCGUAAAGGGCGCGUAGGCGGCUCGCUAAGUCGGGUGUGAAAACUCUGGGCUUAACCCAGAGCCUGCAUUCGAAACUGACGAGCUGGAGUUCUGGAGGGGAAAGCGGAAUUCCUGGUGUAGCGGUGAAAUGCGUAGAUAUCAGGAGGAACACCGGUGGCGAAGGCGGCUUUCUGGACAGAAACUGACGCUGAUGCGCGAAAGCUAGGGGAGCAAACAGG
rnacentral:rRNA from 1 species